UACGUAGGGUGUGAGCGUUAAUCGGAAUUACUGGGCGUAAAGCGUGCGCAGGCGGUUCUCCAAGUCCGUUGUGAAAGCCCCGGGCUCAACCUGGGAAUGGCAGUGGAAACUAGGGGACUGGAAUCUGGCAGAGGGGGGUGGAAUGCCGCGUGUAGCAGUGAAAUGCGUAGAGAUGCGGCGGAACACCGAUGGCGAAGGCAGCCCCCUGGGCUGAGAUUGACGCUCAGGCACGAAAGCGUGGGGAGCAAACAGG
rnacentral:rRNA from 1 species